ACUCAUCUUAAAAGUUGAAACGUUCAACAAAACCAGUUCACGUCUCUCUCUCUCUCUCUCUCGCAUGACUGCUACCUCUUUCUCUCUUUUAACUAUUCAGUUCCCCUUCAAUUUAACGCAUACUUUUCUGUUUCUCUCCUUCUAUUUGAUAUCUGACUCUCUCUCUCUCUCUCUGUUUCUUUCAGUUCAUUUUUUUAUUUCAGGUAUUGAGUUUCUGGUCAGCGAUGUUUAUAGGAACACAGACUCGGGAAAAUCAAAGAUUCAACUUUACCGAUUGCAGUACAAAAUACUAAACCGAAGGAGGAACAGCUACCAAGGAAUGAAUAUCAAAACCUUCUUUUGUAUCUAAAGAGAAAGAUCUGUGAGGAAGAAGCUUAACUAAAAGAUUGAGCUCUUUCAUGUCACAUGCAAUCACAGCGUAGACCCAUGUAUCUAUGUGGAUUGGAUCAAAGUGCCAGUGGAGGUGAAACUUUUGUAGUGGAUGUGAAUUGCAAAGAGCCCAAGAGUAGGCAUAGUGGCUAUAAAACUGUGUUAUCAAAACUUUUGGUUUGGUAUUGCUUUACAAGUGCAAUCUGUACAGGACAGUCAAGCUCUUUUGUUUGACUUUCUCUUCCUUUACGUUUAAAAAGGUACUACUGAUGCUGUAAUACUAUAUGCCUCUUUAUGCAGCUUAGGUCAUAUGCAAGGUUUGUUGCAAGAGGAUAUAUUAGUUCCUAAAGCUAGCAAAAGUGCUUUUGGCUUUCAGUCAA